rnacentral:rRNA from 1 species
UGGGCAACCUGCCCUGUACUGGGGAAUAAUCAUUGGAAACGAUGACUAAUACCGCAUGUGGUCCUCGGAAGGCAUCUUCUGAGGAAGAAAGGAUUUAUUCGGUACAGGAUGGGCCCGCAUCUGAUUAGCUAGUUGGUGAGAUAACAGCCCACCAAGGCGACGAUCAGUAGCCGACCUGAGAGGGUGAUCGGCCACAUUGGGACUGAGACACGGCCCAG